rnacentral:rRNA from 1 species
CCUACGCGGCGCAGCAGUGGGGAAUAUUGGGCAAUGGAGGCAACUCUGACCCAGCAACGCCGCGUGAAUGAUGAAGGUCUUCGGAUUGUAAAGUUCUGGGAUGGGGGAUGAACACAAUGACGGUACCCCAAUAGCAAGCCAAGGCUACUUACGUGCCAGCAGCAGCGGUAAUCCGUAGGUGGCAAGCGUGAUCCGGAAUGACUGGGCGUAAAGGGUGCGUAGGUGGUUUAGUAAGUUGGCGGUGUAAUGCCGGGGCUCAACCUCGGCGCUACCGCCAAAACUAUUAGACUAGAGUGCAGGAGGGGUAAGUGGAAUUCCUGGUGUAGCGGUGGAAUGCGUAGAUAUUAGGAGGAACAUCAGGGGCGAAGGCGACUUACUGGACUGUAACUGACACUGAGGCACGAAAGCGUGGGGAGCAAACAGGAUUAGAUACCCUUGUAGUC